CCUCAGCAGGGGAAAGAGAAGCUACCCAGACCUACACACCUUUGUGCAGGACAUGAAGGACGACCAUUGGAAUCUGCUGAGUGAGAAUAUGCGUGUCGGGAUGAGCAGACAUGAGUUUAGUGCCAAGUGCAUGGAUAUUGUAGCAUGGGUGAUGGAGUCUACAUCCACUGUGGUUGUUCC